rnacentral:rRNA from 1 species
ACUACGGGGGGCUGCAGUGAGGAAUAUUGGUCAAUGGCCGGAAGGCUGAACCAGCCAUGCCGCGUGAAGGUCAAUGCCCUAUGGGCGUUAAACUUCUUUUGUGCGGGAGCAAUAAUGGUCACGUGUGGCCAGACGAGAGUACCGUACGAAUAAGCAUCGGCUAACUCCGUGCCAGCAGCCGCGGUAAUACGGGGGAUGCCAGCGUUAGCCGGAUUUUUUGGGGUUAAAAGGUGCGUAGGCGGUGAGGUAAUUCAGCGGUGAAAUGCCCCGGCUCAACGGGGUGAAGUGCCAUUGAUACUGCCUGGCUGGAAUGCGAAUGCCGUGGGAGGAAUGUGUGGUGUAGCGGUGAAAUGCAUAGAUAUCGCACAGAACACCGAUUGCGAAGGCAUCUCACGAAUCCGCGAUUGACGCUGAUGCACGAAAGCGUGGGUAUCAAACAGGAUUAGAUACCCUUGUAGUC